CAGGACUCAUCCGGUGAUUUAUGGUUCUGUCCUGAGAUCUAAACAAGUUCACUGAUGAACUGAAGGACCUGCUGUGGUUUGGUGACGUCAAGACUCUCAGCUGUUCCUCAGAGAGAAGCUGGACUUUAAAACCAUUCGGAUUGAGUCCUCGUGUGCCGAUCUGAUUCAGGUCCGAUGAGAAGAUCUGAUGAGCUCUGAUAUAUUAUACAACCUGGAAGGUCCACAUUCCUGAAUCAUAAGAGUUUCAUUUUUCUCAUAGCUGCUGAUGAUGAAGGUUAUGGUUCACUGGUUAUUGCUUCAUACAAUGGCUGUUAGUCAUUGAACACUUAUAGGCCUGUAUCAGUUACCUAACAGCUAUCUGUAAGAACUUUAGAACUGUGACAAGUCUGACAUUCUUGAGAUUCUUGGAUCUUCUGGUGAUGCUGGAGGCUCCUCUAGGUGCUCCUCACGGUGAUGGUGGAGAAUUUGUUGCGUCCACUGACAUAAAUAGGAAGGUCCUGUCCUGUUCCAGCAUGAGAGCUCUAUAAAGACAUGAAGAAAAGCGUCCUGCACAGAGCCCUGACCUCAACCUUACUCAACAGCUCUGGGAUAAACCGGAACACUGACUGAUCAAUCAGCACCCAGUCAUACAAAUGCUGUCAGGUUUUGACUGAAUGAGCACAAAUUGCCAUAGACAUAUUUCAGAAGCUGUUGUUCUGGCUGGAAAGAUCACAUACAGGUCCCUCUCACUAGCUGCAGCCAAACGUUAAGAGAUCAGCUGCUGUGUGGAACUGAGUUCAGGAUCAUGUUACUGUACAGAGCUGUUCGUGUUUCAGCAGAACUUUAGAUACAGUCUGUAGAGUUUAAGAUGUUCUCUUCACAUGUUGUAUUUCAAGUAAAUACUUCUGAAGUGAAAUAAAAUAAAAAUUAUUGUAUUA